UCCCAGGAUUAAGCACCGCACUGCACGGAGCCAUGCACUGAGUGUGGAGCAAAUGGUUUGUGUGGCCUUGCGCUUUUUUGCUAGUGGAGCCUUCCUGUACUCAGUGGGGGAUGCAGAACAGCUGAACAAGGCCACAAUUUGCCGCACAAUAAGGAGUGUGUGUCUGUCUGGCUAUCAAAGCAUUAGCAGAUGUCUUCAUCUCCUUCCCUGGCCACAGAAGACUCUGUGACAUCAAAGAGGAGUUCUAUAGGAUUGCAGAUGGUCUGCAAUGCUGACUGUGAUCAGCAAUGUUGUGGCAAAAUGGCCUGGCUCAGUCCAUGACUCCAGAAUCUUUCGGGCCUCUGAAAUCUAUCACAAGGUGAAUUCUCUGGUGUGUUGCUGGGAGACAGGGGGUAUGGCUGCCAGCCUUUUCUCCUGACACCUUUCACAGACCCCCAGGAAGCACAGCAGGCCUACAACCAUGCCCAUGCCAGGACCAGGGCCAGAGUUGAAAUGACCUUUGGCCUCCUGAAGGCACGCUUUCACUGCCUUCACAAAUUAAGGGUCAGCCCUGUUAGGGCAUGUGAUAUUACUGUGGCUUGUGCUGUCCUCCACAAUGUGGCCUGCCUGAGGAAGGAGAGGG